rnacentral:rRNA from 1 species
GACGAACGCUGGCGGCGUGCUUAACACAUGCAAGUCGAACGAUGAAGCCUAGCUUGCUAGGUGGAUUAGUGGCGAACGGGUGAGUAAUACGUGAGUAACCUACCUUUAACUCUGGGAUAAGCCUGGGAAACUGGGUCUAAUACCGGAUACGACCAAUCUCCGCAUGGGGUGUUGGUGGAAAGCGUUAUGCAGUGGUUAUAGAUGGGCUCACGGCCUAUCAGCUUGUUGGUGAGGUAACGGCUCACCAAGGCGACGACGGGUAGCCGGCCUGAGAGGGUGACCGGCCACACUGGGACUGAGACACGGCCCAGACUCCUACGGGAGGCAGCAGUGGGGAAUAUUGCACAAUGGGCGCAAGCCUGAUGCAGCGACGCCGCGUGAGGGAUGACGGCCUUCGGGUUGUAAACCUCUGUUAGCAGGGAAGAAGAGAGAUUGACGGUACCUGCAGAGAAAGCGCCGGCUAACUACGUGCCAGCAGCCGCGGUAAUACGUAGGGCGCGAGCGUUGUCCGGAAUUAUUGGGCGUAAAGAGCUUGUAGGGCGGUUUGUCGCGUCUGCUGUGAAAGGCCGGAGCUUAACUCCGUGUAUUGCAGUGGGUACGGGCAGACUAGAGUGCAGUAGGGGAGACUGGAAUUCCUGGUGUAGCGGUGGAAUGCGCAGAUAUCAGGAGGAACACCGAUGGCGAAGGCAGGUCUCUGGGCUGUAACUGACGCUGAGAAGCGAAAGCAUGGGGAGCGAACAGGAUUAGAUACCCUGGUAGUCCAUGCCGUAAACGUUGGGCACUAGGUGUGGGGAACAUUCCACGUUUUCCGCGCCGUAGCUAACGCAUUAAGUGCCCCGCCUGGGGAGUACGGCCGCAAGGCUAAAACUCAAAGAAAUUGACGGGGGCCCGCACAAGCGGCGGAGCAUGCGGAUUAAUUCGAUGCAACGCGAAGAACCUUACCAAGGCUUGACAUAUACUGGACCGCAUCAGAGAUGGUGUUUCCCUUCGGGGCUGGUAUACAGGUGGUGCAUGGUUGUCGUCAGCUCGUGUCGUGAGAUGUUGGGUUAAGUCCCGCAACGAGCGCAACCCUCGUUCUAUGUUGCCAGCACGUUAUGGUGGGGACUCAUAGGAGACUGCCGGGGUCAACUCGGAGGAAGGUGGGGAUGACGUCAAAUCAUCAUGCCCCUUAUGUCUUGGGCUUCACGCAUGCUACAAUGGCCGGUACAGAGGGUUGCGAUACUGUGAGGUGGAGCUAAUCCCUAAAAGCCGGUCUCAGUUCGGAUUGGGGUCUGCAACUCGACCCCAUGAAGUCGGAGUCGCUAGUAAUCGCAGAUCAGCAACGCUGCGGUGAAUACGUUCCCGGGCCU